rnacentral:rRNA from 1 species
GAUGAACGCUGGCGGCGUGCCUAAUACAUGCAAGUCGAGCGAACAGACGAGGAGCUUGCUCCUCUGACGUUAGCGGCGGACGGGUGAGUAACACGUGGAUAACCUACCUAUAAGACUGGGAUAACUUCGGGAAACCGGAGCUAAUACCGGAUAAUAUAUUGAACCGCAUGGUUCAAUAGUGAAAGACGGUUUUGCUGUCACUUAUAGAUGGAUCCGCGCUGCAUUAGCUAGUUGGUAAGGUAACGGCUUACCAAGGCAACGAUGCGUAGCCGACCUGAGAGGGUGAUCGGCCACACUGGAACUGAGACACGGUCCAGACUCCUACGGGAGGCAGCAGUAGGGAAUCUUCCGCAAUGGGCGAAAGCCUGACGGAGCAACGCCGCGUGAGUGAUGAGGGUCUUCGGAUCGUAAAACUCUGUUAUUAGGGAAGAACAAAUGUGUAAGUAACUAUGCACGUCUUGACGGUACCUAAUCAGAAAGCCACGGCUAACUACGUG